rnacentral:piRNA from 1 species
UCUAUAUGUGAGACUGCCAUGCUCCGAGGG